AAAAGGACAGUUAAACGUUUAUGAAAUUACAAAAAUUGCCACUCGUUCUAUAUCUAUCACGAUACAGCUCUCGCUCUCUCUCAUAUCUCUUUCAGAUCCCUUUCUCCCCAAAAUCAAAACCUCUCUUUCCAUUUCUGCAGCUAAGCAACAAAUCGGAGUAGCAAAUCGAGGCUCCGAUGGCGAAGUAGCCGGUGAGGCGACGCGGCGAAGCGAGGCGGUGAGGCAAGUGGCGAAGCGAGGCAGCGAGGCGAGUGGCGAGGCAAUCGGCGAAGCGAUGUGGCGAGGCGGCGAAGCGAGGAUUCGAAGCAAGUGGGUCUGUGAGCUUUUUCAAUUUUGACCAUCUGGGUCUGAUUCAGUUUGAGUUGCAACACACAUUUCUGUGAGCUUUCAGAGUUUGUGUGAAGGUUUUGGGUUUGCAUAUUGGUCUGUUUGAAAGGGGUUCUCUGUGGUAUGUGAAAUUUCUGGGUCUGUGAGCUAUGGGAGUCUGAAUCUGGAAGAGUUUGUGAAGAUGGGUUUGUUAAAGGUGGAGACUUGGGAUGGGAGCAAAUCAAAGGGAAGGAAGAAGAAGAAGAAGGAUGAGGCUGUGGAGGAAACUGGGUGUUGGAUUAAGUUCUCUUUUGGGAUUUGCAUGCCUUCUUCAAGAUCCAAAGUUGAUAGCACCCUGACUGGGACUACUAUAUCUUUUGGAUGGAGGUAAUGAAAGCAAUGCUGAAGUGAGCAAAUGCAAUAAGGCCAGGCUAGUAUACUACUGGGGGUCAGUAUACUACUGGGGAUCAGUAUACUACUAGGGAUCAGUACACUACUGAGGGUCAGUAUACUACUGGGGCUAGUAUACUACUAGAGGUCAAUAUACUACUGAGGGUCAGUACUCCAAGAAAUCCUGCUGGAGAAACUUCUUCACCAUGAGAAGAGGUGAAGUUCAAAGCAACUUGUAUGUGAAAGCAGCAAAGCCAGAGAUAAAUGAUAUAAUGUUCAAGUUUCAUAUUGUACUAUGUAUAAAUAGUUUUUGGAAUUAUUAAAUAAAUGUGUUGUUUCUAAGAAAAACAAAGACAGAAUAUAGAAAUAUUAUUUUUUUCA